GACCUUUCCACUGUGUUAACAAUGGAGGAUUGGUUGAUUUCCAGUUGAAGUAUUUAAGAUGAUUGAGGAGAAAAGUAUCGUCCAACCAUCGGGUAACUUGUUUCAUGCACAUCAAAGCCUUCCUCUCCUCUGAAGACCCAGUGAGGGUGGAGCUCAGUCAGAGAGCUGUUGAGGGGCUGGUUAGGAAUAACACUUCUACAGCCAGAGAGGAGCAGUCAAGAAAUGGAACGGCAAGGCCACAGAACAUGACAUAAGCAGAGCUGUGGGAGACCUCAAGCCCCUGGUAGAGUCGGGGGUGCUCUUUACCACUCCACCACGCCUUCAGCAGGCUUGAAAAGUGGGAUUGAUCUAUUAGAUCCAUUUGUUUGUUUCAAUUUUCAGUAGUUGAAUAUUUUGACGUAAUGUUGAUUUCAACAUUUUUCAUCUUCAACAAAUGGGUGGUUGAAAAGUGAUACUAAACAUACAUACCAUUGUGGAAGAUUUACUGCAUUUACACUAAGAUGGACCAAGAUGUGUGUUGCUUUUGCACAUAUUUGUUCAUUGGUUUAGCAAGAAUCUGUUGGUCAGUCAUCCAGUUCAUUUGUUUUGCAAUAUGUUCAAAUCAAAAUAAAGCUUUAUUUAUACAGCA
ensembl:lncRNA